GCUUACCAUGCAAGUCGAACGAUGAUCUCCAGCUUGCUGGGGGGAUUAGUGGCGAACGGGUGAGUAACACGUGAGUAACCUGCCCUUAACUCUGGGAUAAGCCUUGGAAACGGGGUCUAAUACCGGAUAUUCACUUCUUCACCGCAUGGUGGGUGGUGGAAAGAUUUAUUGGUUUUGGAUGGACUCGCGGCCUAUCAGCUUGUUGGUGAGGUAAUGGCUUACCAAGGCGACGACGGGUAGCCGGCCUGAGAGGGUGACCGGCCACACUGGGACUGAGACACGGCCCAGACUCCUACGGGAGGCAGCAGUGGGGAAUAUUGCACAAUGGGCGCAAGCCUGAUGCAGCGACGCCGCGUGAGGGAUGAAUGCCUUCGGGUUGUAAACCUCUUUCAGUAGGGAAGAAGCGUAAGUGACGGUACCUGCAGAAGAAGCGCCGGCUAACUACGUGCCAGCAGCCGCGGUAAUACGUAGGGCGCAAGCGUUAUCCGGAAUUAUUGGGCGUAAAGAGCUCGUAGGCGGUUUGUCGCGUCUGCCGUGAAAGUCCGGGGCUCAACUCCGGAUCUGCGGUGGGUACGGGCAGACUAGAGUGCAGUAAGGGGAGACUGGAAUUCCUGGUGUAGCGGGGAAAUGCGCAGAUAUCAGGAGGAACACCGAUGGC
rnacentral:rRNA from 1 species